GCGGAGUUGCGAAAUCGUUUCUACUAAGACUACAGAUCAGACACACGGUUACGGGCCUAGUGGAGGGAGUCGAAAUCACAAUCCUGGAGAUACAGCUAUGUGAAAUCUGGGUCGGUCGUGACGUACCCAGGAAACGUGUUGAGUUAUGUCCUGGAUCUGAUCGCUUAUGGCCUUACUUGUGCUGGCAGAGCUGCAGAGUGGAAGUUUUCGUAAAUCUGUGACUUCUUUCGAGCCUGGAGAGUAGCGCUGGGCAGCAGCGAGGUUCCCGAUCAUUGAAAGCAAAGAAUCGUAGGAAUUGACUCCGAAUCCAAUUACUUACUUUCUCAUGAUGUGAUUUCUUCCGGUGGUUAUCUGGUUGGCUCCGAACAUCUUCAGGAUUUAGGAUAACCUUGAUUUCAGAACACUACAAGCUCUUCCUGGUGCUGCAGUGACUACAGUGAGCCUCUUUUCUUGUCCGGAGCUAGAGAGCGACGCGACCCACGACCAAUGUCUGCCAACACUCCCUUGCUUCUGCUGACCUUACUGGUCACUCCUGGAGCCGUUGUCAUGAACAGAGAGGCGCACAAUGGAGGGGCGUGCCAGUGUAGUGUUACGUCUGUAAAAUCCAGCUCUCCCUGGACAACGCAUCUCAUGUGUGUUCCCUACGGUCACUUCUACUCUACCCAGCGUGUCAAGGUAGGCUCAUUGUUAUU